rnacentral:rRNA from 2 species
UACGGAGGGUGCAAGCGUUGUCCGGAUUUAUUGGGUUUAAAGGGUGCGUAGGCGGCUUGAUAAGUCCGUGGUGAAAGCCAACAGCUCAACUGUUGAACUGCCAUGGAUACUGUCAGGCUUGAGUACAGACGAGGUAGGCGGAAUUGAUGGUGUAGCGGUGAAAUGCAUAGAUACCAUCAAGAACACCGAUUGCGAAGGCAGCUUACUAGGCUGUAACUGACGCUGAGGCACGAAAGCGUGGGGAGCGAACAGG